rnacentral:rRNA from 1 species
CCUACGGGAGGCAGCAGUAGGGAAUUUUCGUCAAUGGGCGCAAGCCUGAACGAGCAAUGCCGCGUGAACGAGGAAGGUCUUCGGAUCGUAAAGUUCUGUUGAAGGGGAAAAAGAGCGGAGAGAGGAAAUGGUCUCCGAUUGAUAUUACCCUUCGAGGAAGUCACGGCUAACUACGUGCCAGCAGCCGCGGUAAUACGUAGGUGGCGAGCGUUAUCCGGAAUGAUUGGGCGGAAGGGGUGCGUAGGCGGCCUGCUAAGUCUGGAGUGAAAGGUACCGGCUCAACCGGUACAGGCUCUGGAAACUGGCGGGCUAGAGAGCAGGAGAGGGCGGUGGAACUCCAUGUGUAGCGGUAAAAUGCGUAGAUAUAUGGAAGAAAACCAGUGGCGAAGGCGGCCGCCUGGCCUGUUACUGACGCUGAGGCACGAAAGCGUGGGGAGCAAAUAGGAUUAGAUCCCCAGUAGUC